UACUCGAAAGUUCGUAUUCGCCAGAAUGAGAUCGGCAGCAAUCCUGCUCUUGUUUAUUGGCCUCAGCAAGGCCGCGAAUCACACUUAUCCUGUCAGUACUAGUACUGAGUUCCCAACAGUCGGUUCCAUUAAUACUAACUGCUCUCUUGAGUCUUUGCCAAUCUGCGGAUACAGGCCAUAUGCAGGCGGCCGUACCGUUUGCACCUUCCUCAAUAUGUGCUUCUAUGAUCAAUUUGUUUUGGCAACGCAAAAUGAUUGGCGGAUAGAGAGUAAUGAGCCUUGCCAGUGGCCGACAAAUGAUUGUCACCAAAUACUGAACGAAAAAAGGCAUCGUACGUCACUAACUUCACGAAAAGCCAAGAAACAUCGCAGACUAGGAGCACAUAAAAAUGCAUCGAAGUCAAUGCAACAUUCAAGAGCCCAGAAGCAUCACAAGACAGAAAGACGGGACAGCAAAGAAGGUCUGAAGUUACUAAACUCAAGCCUACCCCCUAUUAAAGUGACACCAAGCGACCAGAUAUAUCGAAGCUCUGAAACACCGAAAAUCCCAAAGGUCACUAGUUGGACCUUAUUGGAAAAUAAUCUACACACUUCCGAAAAUCCCGUACCCUGGAGGAGGCGUGGUAGGCAAUCCCGAUCGAAAAGCAAGAAACAUCGCAAGACAGAGUCCAAGCCAAGAGCCAAGAUUCAGCCCAAAAAAGAAACAGAAAUUGAUGUAAGGGAGACUUUGUUUCAAUAAAACCUACAUAGUUUCCGGCAAA
rnacentral:sRNA from 1 species